rnacentral:rRNA from 1 species
GUGGGGAAUAUUGGACAAUGGGGGCAACCCUGAUCCAGCCAUGCCGCGUGAGUGAUGAAGGUCUUCGGAUUGUAAAGCUCUUUUGGCGGGGACGAUAAUGACGGUACCCGCAGAAUAAGCCCCGGCUAACUUCGUGCCAGCAGCCGCGGUAAUACGAAGGGGGCUAGCGUUGCUCGGAAUCACUGGGCGUAAAGCGCACGUAGGCGGGCUUUUAAGUCGGAGGUGAAAUCCCAGGGCUCAACCCUGGAACUGCCUUCGAUACUGAGAGUCUUGAGUCCGGAAGAGGUGAGUGGAACUCCGAGUGUAGAGGUGAAAUUCGUAGAUAUUCGGAAGAACACCAGUGGCGAAGGCGGCUCACUGGUCCGGUACUGACGCUGAGGUGCGAAAGCGUGGGGAGCAAACAGGAUUAGAAACCCGGGUAGUCC